rnacentral:rRNA from 1 species
AACGAACGCUGGCGGCAUGCCUAACACAUGCAAGUCGAACGAGACCUUCGGGUCUAGUGGCGCACGGGUGCGUAACGCGUGGGAACCUGCCCUUAGGUUCGGAAUAACUCCCCGAAAGGGGUGCUAAUACCGGAUAAUGUCUUCGGACCAAAGAUUUAUCGCCUUUGGAUGGGCCCGCGUUGGAUUAGCUAGUUGGUAGGGUAAAAGCCUACCAAGGCGACGAUCCAUAGCUGGUCUGAGAGGAUGAUCAGCCACACUGGGACUGAGACACGGCCCAGACUCCUAAGGGAGGAAGCAGUGGGGAAUAUUGGACAAUGGGCGAAAGCCUGAUCCAGCAAUGCCGCGUGAGUGAUGAAGGCCUUAGGGUUGUAAAGCUCUUUUACCCGGGAUGAUAAUGACAGUACCGGGAGAAUAAGCUCCGGCUAACUCCGUG